AGCAGCCUCCCGUUGGCCAAAGCGAAGAGUCCCCGCCUGGGCGCUCCUCCCGCCGCCCCCCCGGGGGCCCAUAAAAGCCCCGAGGCAGAGGCAGGGCAGCUUUCCCAGCCCCUGAGCUUGCAAAGGUGACCCAGGGACAGAUCUCAAAACAAACGCAUCUCAGAGAAGGAUCAAAACCUGUCUCUUUUCUGAGGGAUCCGUACACACAGAGAUCUUUGAAGAAUAAAGAAUUUAGGCACAGUUCUCAUGACUUGCUGAUGAAGGUGUAUUUGGCAAGAGCUUUACAUCUGCAGCUUUACAUAACCUGAUAAAGUGCAACACAGGUACGAGCCCAGAGCUGAGAGCAGACAGCAGCACACAGGGGCACUGUGCUGGAUGGGAAACAAAUACCAACUGGGUGAGGACUACACCUAAAAACCUCAGCCGAGUGCCUGAGUCUCACUGCAAGGCAAACUAUGCUGAAGACAGAAAUCAACUGACACGUUCAGUCUGGAGGAAUCCCCCGGGGUACCAGCAGAAUGCAUUACCAGUGCAUUUCUCCAGUGAGAUAUGAUGGGAAGAGCACAGAGCAAAAAAGAAGCAGAGAGAAGAUGAAGAAACAAUCUCUCGAAGGAUACAGCCUGACAGUAAUACCGCCAUCUGACUAAAAAGAACUCAGACAUACGCAUAAUCCUCAGGAAAAUUCAUCUCCACCCUCCCAGCAGACCCUGGUGAGAGCCCUUGAAGUGGUAAUUAAAGUCUAUUGAGUGGCAACUGCACCUGUUUAGAAAGGAGAGUGUGGGUAAGAGGUGCACAAAGGGAGAUGAGCAGCAGAGAGGGAGUGUGAGCGAGGAGCUGCUGGAGGUGGGGAAGAAGGGAAGCGGAAAGAAGAAAAGGUAUAUUUGUUGGCGAAGCCAAUCCAAUACGAUGCGUAUUUCACAUUCUUCCCUUCAUUUGCUUUCUGCCUGCUCUCCUGCACCCCUUCACGCACACAGCCGGCUUCUACCCCACUCUCACACCCACUGAUGGAAACUCCAGGGGGCUUUCCCCGGCUAGCCCGGGCCCUGGACCAGCAGCUGCUCAUCUGGUGUAAAUCAACAGAGUUCCACUGAAGUCCUGGUGGAGUUACGAUCAGCUAGCGCUCAUUUACGCCAGCUGAAGAUCUGUCCCAGUGACACUCAUUAACAGUCACUGGGCUCCUCAGCCCGGCAGCUGGGACAUGCCAGUUCUUGUCUGCUGGGUUGUCUUUCUCCCUAGAAUAGAGCACAUCCCUUUGUGCGGGCUUUGUCGCCCCGGUGUAAAUCCUACAGCAUCUGGGAUGAAUAAAUCAGAGAUGUUUCUGGAUUUCAGCAGACAUGUCUGAGAGCAGAGUCUAGGCAGAAACUGAGUGAAAUGGAGGAACCCAGAGCAGUGCUUGCAGGCAGGCAAUGCCAUGCCUAUCAAUAGGACUGCUAGUUUUGCAUCCACAUGAGGCUCCAAAAGCUUUGAGCCAGUGUCACAAUCAGAUAGAUGUUCCUAGGUACUACGUGUGAGGCCGUGCAAAACGGGCUUACUCAUAAAUACUGGCAGUAAUUGUGGAUUCUGACAUAGCCUUGCAGACUACUGCUGACCCAAGGACCACAGCUGGGGAGCCACUGGUGUGUCCAGUGAAUUGUCACUUGGUGGGGAGACCUGGAGGCCAAAAUCUGUGAUACUGUGGCAGUGGCAGCUCUGCCAGCUUCAAUAGACCAGUGCUGACUUGUGUCACCAGGUAAUUGCGUACUGGUUUGCUAAUGGCACAAACCAGCAGAUUAAGUGGUGAAACAAUGGGGAAAAGAAAGACAUAAAAAGUGGCAGGGGGAAAUCCUCCAGUGUUUGAGAUGGAGACCAUGAAAAGGGGGACAUUCUUUGGUACGGACAUCUGGACUGCCUUAGUGACCAAGGAGCCAAAGACCAGCACUGCAGAGUGAUGUAGAUGCAUGGCCCAAGGAAUUUGUCAUCCUGAGACCCGUGGAUUGAGAGCAGAAAUCCUAACUCUUUCUGCCAUAAUCUCAAUUUCAUUUUUGAUGCCAGUAAUCUGGGCAUUUCAGAUGAGGCCAUAAAGAUUUAGUGCAUCACCUUUGCCUAAUUAGUCAAAGGCUCUGCCAGUAGUGUUUUGUAGUAGCAUGCAAUCAUCCCUUACGCUCUACCUAUGCACACACACUACUGAAGCCUACUCAUUUAACUCCCUUUAUCCAACCCCAAAAUGGUUUUCUUUCUGUGUUACUCUACAUUUGCAAAGAUUCUGCAGUAAUACAAGCUCUCCCUUGUCACGGCAAUUCUAUAUGUGCCCCAGCAAUCAACUGAACAAAACUAGGUUUCCUGGGGUGAGAACAGAAGAGGAAAGAGGUUUAUCCUCAGAGCACCCUGAGGCUGAGCUGCGCAAAGGAUUCAGGCAGAAUAAUUUGACCGGUGUUUGCAAAAUUUUCGCUCUCGCUGGACUUGAUGGCAAGCAGUCCCCUGUGAAUCCCUGACCUUCAUACUCUGCAGGCUGCCUGGGAUGGCUGAAAUAAACCACGGGACUUUGUCUUGAUCCCCGAUUGUCAGAGUACACAUCAAUUCUGGUGCAAAGUUGUUGCAUCUGCUUUCUACAAAUAUUAGCAACGACUCUGUAGCACGCAGUCCUGAUAGCCGUACCGGGAAAUGCAUCCUUGUGAAUGAAGACAGAAAGGAAAAUGCAUUCAGCAAAAGCCAAUUCCUCUGGCUGUUAAGGGUGGGAUUUGCAAUUUGUUGGAGAGAUGAUCCGAGCUGCUCACUUAAAUUCAGCUACAGUUAACAGAGACAGACAGGUAUGUCUGGACAACAAGUCAACCAACCAGUCAAGCCCUGUCUUUGAGUGAGAUUAAUUUUUGUACUGAUUACAAGGGUGCCUACAUGACUCACUUAACACAAAAUGCCUAACUGCUAUCAGGCUAGAGUUACAUGAGAGGAAUCAUACCUAAAAUACCUCACUUGCAUGUCUCCUAAACUCUAGUCUUGUCCAUUAACAAAAUCACUGGGUACAUUGUCAUGAGACACAUUGCCUCAUUUCUAUAUUUUUUUCUCCCAGAUACUCUUCUCUAUUCUUUUUUUUUUUCCUUUCAGCCCUCCUGUUCCUCAGCCUUUUUCUUUUUUUUCCACCCUCCCUCUGAUUGCCGAGUAGCUUCUUGACUUUUCCAUCAAUAAGUCUAAAGAGCAUUUGAACCAUUCUGUUCCCCCCUUCUCUCCUCCCUCCAGUUCCAAGUCAGGCAAGCGCAUCGAUCAGAGGAGCUCAAGAAAUAUCUGGUGUUUUGUUGUCAGGAUGAUAAUAACAUUGCAGUUGUGAAUGGGCUGCUGCAGGCCUGAUCAUGGACACCUGCAGGGUUUGUUUAAUUGCAUUUAAUGACAAAUCCUAUACAGAGGAGCAUUGCCAGAGAGAUUUAUUAUCCACCAAAGAGGCAAAGCACAACAGCUCAAAAUAUAAUUUGCACUGAGCAUUUUUUCCCCUGCCUCUCUUUAAACCAUUGUAAUAAAUAACAAAUCGGGUAAAGUGGGCAACACUAGUCUGAGACAGAGGUGGGGGGCAGAGGACAGAGAUUGAAACCAAAGGAAAUAACAGCAAUAAGGCCACACUGUUCUUUCUACCAUCCCUGUGGUCUGGUGUAUAGGAAAUACUGUUUGUUUAAUUUACAGCCUAGAAGUGCAGCUGGGGAUCUCUCUGUGAUGAGCCAGCCUCUUCUCAGAUAGCCGGAGGCUAAGCUCUUGAGUCCCUAUUCUUUCUAAGCAGGCUUUUUUUUCACCGUGUUCUGUAGCUAAGUUUAGAUCUUAUCUGUAAAAUCAAUUACAAAGAAACUACGGUGGCUUCUCAGCACUAUGGGUGUCACCUGCCACAAUUACAAGGAGGCAUGAGCUUCCACGCUGUUGAAAUCUCUGGGACAAACUACAAGUGGCAGAUCCCAUCCUGCAAAAUACCACUUUGAGAAAUACGGCCCUACGCAGACAGAUCACUCUACCUGAAGUCUAGACGAAAGUCUCACACACCUCUGAGGCUGAACGGAAUUUAUGUUUCCUACUAAAUGCCACGCUCCUGGAAGGGAAUUCAUAUGUGUAUAAAGAGCAGAGGACCUCGUUCCCUUGCUCAAGCCGUAAACAGUCACUUCUCUCUUGAUUAUUACGUGCUUGUUUAGUGACAACUUGUGGCAAAUCCCUUCCCCAGUGUGGUAUAUCACUGUGCUAGGCAGAGUGCAGUUCCAGAACAACCAUAAAGUAUUGUCACCUGAAUUGGUGCAGCUGGACUAGGUGAUCUUUGAACGUGCCCUUAAACUGAACUAUUCUAUUCCAUUCCAUUCCAUUCUAUUCUGUUCUGUUCUGUUCUGUUCUGUCCUGUCCUGUCCUGUCCUGCCCUGUCCUAUUAUUAUAGUCCUUCCCCAACCAUUUUCUCUCUCAGGUUCGUAAGUCAUCUUUAUUAUUCGCUCUCUCAUCUAAUUACCCUUGGCAGAAUACUGAAUUGCCCUGGCAGCUUAUUUCUAAAACUUGUCUCUCCUCCCCCCUCACCUGCUCCCCAAGCAUUUUCAUCAAUACACUUUGUGGUAUGGCAGAGAAUAAGCUACAGUUUAGAAGAAAUGCCUUAAUUUAGGAAAUCCCAGCACAGGCCAGGAACAGGCAUGCAUCAGAGUAACGUUGUAUUCAGUGUGAGCAAGGGGUGCGUGUUCACUGGUGUUCUCCUUUAUGUUCAGAUUAAAUUUUGCACUUUAAAUGGUGCAAACCAGGAGGUCUAGGGAUGAUGGUGAGCUCGUACCAGAAAAUAUCACCCAGGAUUGUCCCUUCUGCAGUGUUUGGUCUCUAUUUUAAUGCAGGCAGCAGUCGGCAGUUGGCAAUGUCAUUACACAAACACGGUGUAGGGUAACACCUGGACUGCAGUUUUAUCUGAUUUCCUGGACAAUGGCAGUAUCGCUAAUACCCCCUGUUAAAUAAGACCACCUGGACAUCUCCUGGUAUCAGCUCCAGCUAUCACAAACACACUUGCUACCUAGGCUAGCACAAAGGAUUGUUAUCUCUUGAGCAGCGCAAAUCCCCAGAUUGAAACCACCCAUCUGGAGUUUGAUUAAAGUGUCCAUAGAAAGCACAUAUGUUUAAAAAAAAAAAGAGAGAGGGGGGAGAGGGAGGGAGAGGCUGGACUGUGCUCUGUGAGCUUGCACAGGGCACAACCUCUGCCAGCACCAGCAAACUCUCGCCUUUUGCUGAAAAUUUCUUUCUCCUGCUAUGAAAGAAGCCUUUCACCAAAGCAGCUCCGCAGAGCAGAGGCUGUUGAAGGAUACUUUUGUUUCUUUUCCUUUUUUACAACUGCUCACAAAAGUACAUUUAACAGGCUUGAUUUGGCGACAGGGAGGAUUCUGUCCCUUGUCUGACUCCACCGGCUGAGGUAAGUCUGCCUCGCUCAGACAACGGCGGUCAAAAGGAAUAAUGCGAGAUCCUUUACUUGGAUGUGAGCCAGCAUUGUCCUUUCACGUGUUAUUCAUGAAAUAUGCAAGGUAUUAACAGCAGAAAGCUGGGUAGUGGAAGCAAAGCUAAACCUGGGGUGAAAUAAAGAUUGCUCUUCGACAAAUUCAGAGGAAAGGAAACGGCAAAAGGGUUUUGUUUUUUCUUGCUGAGAUCAGUCUCUCAGUAGGAUCGCAGGAAACCCAGCACUAUUAUUAUCUUAUCUUUUUCUUUGCUGCCUGAUUCCUUUUCUCUAGCAUUCCCAAGUAUAUAUUACGUUUACUUAUUUCAGUCAGACCAAGAUACAACUGAGAGAUAGGCAGGUUGGCAGAGCACUCCAGGAGAAGUUUAUCACAGGGUAUGGAAAAAGAAGAUCCUGCUGAGUCUUGAUAUCCUUGAGAAAAAAAAAAAAAAUCCAAAUUUUUAUAGUCAUCUAUAGUCUUCUGAGUGGGAAAAUGGAGCAGAAAGUCACAGGUACAGUCACAAAAUUGGAUAGACGAUUAUAGUGAGAUUUGACAUGGUCUCGCAAAGAGCAAUAUUUUUCUUUUUCGCACUGUCUAACAUGCCUACCAUCCAUCCCUGAAAUGAGAACCAAGUGUUGAAAGAAUGAGAACAAGUGAGGAAGGAUAACAGAAGAAGAAAUGAAGGAGGACGUCCCCAAGGAGGAGGUGCUGCUCUCAGUGGUCUGGCUCUGUGUGGAAGACUAGUGAUUUUGUUGUUCUGACUUAUAAAGGUGACAACAAAUCAUAGCCUGCCAUACAGUGCAGAUCUUCACCCUCGCUGGUGUGAGAGAUUGCUGACGGGACGCACUGGGACACAGAGCUGGUCCAGCUGCCCACCGAGAGCCCUCUCUGGGAUACAGCUGCUCCACACCUGAAAGCUAAGUACGUAUUGAAGUGCUUUGGCAUACUGGAGGUCAUAUCAGUCCCUGAGCCAGAGACUGUGACUUAUUCUGCUCCUCAGCUCUCAUCCCCUUGAAGUUAUCCAAAUCUGGGCUCUGGGUGAAGCAACAGGAGGAGUGUCUGUGAAGAAGCAAGCUCUGUAGGCUCAUCCUGCAGCCAUGAGCAGCUCUCUCUAAGCAUGCCACUCACCUACUUUUACUUUAAAGCAAUUUCCCAUUGAAAACAACUAUUAUUAUCUUCAUAUUGUGGAUCAAGGAACAUUAAGUGUCUCACUCAAAGACUCCACAGCAAUUCUGUGGCAAAGUUAGGGCUUGAACCUCAGCUGCUGAAGUCUGCUGGGCACUUAGAAAUCCUGCUUGUUUUGAAAGUCUAGCUUGCUGCUUCCAACAGGGUUUUAAAAACCGGAACGGGUGAAUUUUCAAUACCACCCAGAGCCUCUAUUCUCAGAGAUAUUUAGGUGUGAAAAUGAAAUUCCUGAAUCCUGCUGAGGCCAGUGGUAAAGGUAAGUACUGAAAUGUCUUUAAUAAUUUGGGUUGGUGCUGCUGUAGAGCAUUUUCUUUGUGUGCUCAGCAUUGCACACUUGUCAUUGUUAUUACCCACAGAAAGGGUACAGAGAGGACAGAGCCAGUCUCUUCCCAGUGGUGCCCAGUGCCAGAAAAAGAGAUGCUGGGCACAAACUGAAAUGCAGGAGGUUCUGACUGAACAUCAGGAAGCAGUUCUGUACAGUGAGGAUGACCGAGCACUGGAGCAGGUUGCCCAGAGAAGUUGUAGUCUCCAUCCAUGGAGAUACUCAAAAGCCAUCCAGACAUGGCCCUGGGCAACCAGCUUUAGGUGUCCCUAUGACAAUUCUAUGAUUCUGUGAUUACUGCCUAUGUGAUUUAGGAACUUAAGUCCUUUUGGCUUUUCCUUCAACUAAGCCAUUUAGGUUGAAAACAGAAACACAUCUGGAAAGUCAGCCGUAGAGCUAGUGCAGUACAGCACCAGAGCAAAUGUCUGCAAGACGAAGACAGCCACUGACCUCCAAAUCCAUCUGCUUUGUGGUUCAUGAACGUGCUUUACAGUCCUCACAGCCAGGUUCUGCCAGAAGGUCCAAAUCUGAUGAGGUCUUUACAGUCCUCGCAGCCAGAGGUCCAAAUGUGAUGCUCUUGCUACCUUGCCAUUUGCCUCAGCCUUUCAUUCUUUCAGCUUGAAAGAAAGAGGGUCCAGAUCCAAAGACACUAUUGUUACUAUCAUCUUAGAUAAUCUGUGAGGUAGGAGCAGUGCAAUACUUAUCCCAGGAAAUUUAUUGCUAAAGGAAUUUAACAGCUGUACAAAUUGCUACCCAUUGACGAUGCAUGAAAGAAAAGACCCACGUAUCAUAAGCAUGAGCGACACGCUCUCCCUCUCUUUUACUCCCCCACUGAUAUAUUAAAGCUACAAAAAUUCAGAGGGCAGCAGUGCAACCAUUAAUGUUGAAAUUGCCAGGCUGGUGUCUAAUGUAAAUGAAACUCCAUUGAUUUAGUGUUACUCAACAUACCUCUCCUGCCUGUUCAUCUUCUGCAGUCUGAUCAAAAUCCUUCCUUCCAGGUAGCAAUGGCCUCGUGCCCUAUAUAAGCACAGAAAAUAAUGUCAUCACAAGCCUUAAUGAUGAAGGUAGUUACAGGACAAAAGCCCCUGCGGCAAGUUGGGUAUUGGGUCAUUGUUCCUGCUAAUGUCAUGGUGCCAUUUCUCACUAUUUUUAGAGUUGUUCUCUUUGUACAGCAAAUUUCUCAUGUAGUUACUUAAAAAUACAGAAGAUUUUGUCUUCACUGGA